CACAAGAGAGAUCCCCGAGGGCUCCAGGUGAGUCACACAACAAACCCAAGAACUAGUGGAACUAGCUGUCCCUGAGUUACUGAGUGACCUCUGGUCAAGUGCUGAGGCUCUCUGUGCCUCAGAGGUACGCCACUCUCUUGAUCUUUUCCUAGUGGGCAGUGUGCAGUGGGUGACUACAAGGUAAGAAAAAAAGGAAUGGCCCCAUUAAAGGGCAGGGACAACUGCUUGAUGGAUGUUGGUGGCCUGGCUCUCCCCCAUUCUGCUAUCUCUCUGCACACAACCUACCUCUGAGCAUCUCUGGGGAUGGACCCCUCCCACACAGUGGGCACUCCUGUCAUUUAGAAUGUUCUGUCCUCCUUGCCCACUGAGUGGACCCAAAAAAAGCCUGGGGAAUUGGAAUCCUGUGAAGAGGGACACAAGAUUGGAAAUGAAAUGAUUGGCGCCAAUUGAUCCUAGCAGCUGUGAGACAAGAUUAUGAGCUUCUGCUCUCUAGAUCACUGCAAAGACUGCAUCUGUCCUUCCCUGGCCUGGACUUGUAUCUGCCCCCUUACCCUGUGAACCACUCCCAAGUCCUUCAGAUAAAAUCCUUGAUGCUGAGGUUAAGUGGAAUUGGUACUGAGGCUCUCCUCGGAUACAGAGUCCUUUAGUGUGUGUGUUGGAGGGAUUGUGUGCUUUGGAGAAGAUGAGAGAAGGGACAGGCCUGGGGAAGGUCUGAGUCACCAUCCUUACAGAAAGCCCUCAAGGGAUAGAGGGCAGAGUAGAGGGCAGGGGUCAUAUGUAAGUGUUAGGUUAAGGUCCAAGGAAACUUCCCCUUUAGGUGUGAAUUGUGUUGGGAUAAAGGAGGGAAGGAGGCUUAUAUACUACAGAGAGAUUUGAAGAGUUAUGACAUUUACAGGUAUCUGUGGGUUUCCUUUUGUUCUGAUAAUGCUGGUGGAUGGGGGAUGGUCUCUGCAGCUGCAGUGAGGCCACAGUGGAUCAGAGAUGGCCACGCAGGCAGCCAUCUCAUUCUCCACUACUGAGAGAGGUGCUGAGCACCUUGAUGCUCUCUGAUCAGGAGAAGGCUGGGCUCCAGUGCCCCUGCUUGUCUGGAUCCCUCCCCUUCAGCCCUGGAGGAUGCAUCCCAUGGUGUAAGGCACAAUGUCAGGCCUCUCCUUUCAUAGAGCCACAGAUCUCAAGAAAUAAGGCACCUGGAAAGUUCCUUCCCCAUGCAGAAGCCACUGGAGACCAUUGUAAGGCAACAUGUGAAUUGGAGUGUGCCACACUGAGUUCCAGAGUGCAGAGGGAUCCUGAAUGGGGCUGAGGGUUUGCUGUGGAGGUUCAGAAAGGGCUGGGUUUAUGGGCCAGAAGCAAUAACUGUAGGUAUGUGAGGCAAACAGCCCCAACCUGGAGACAAGCAGUGGGAGAAGAGAGGAUGACAGCAGGUGAUAAUGUGGGGAUGACUCAUUUCUUUGAUCUCUGGAGCUCUUGCCCCUGAUGCUGUCUUGACCUUCCAUCUCACCCCCUGCAAAGCAGAUCUUGCUAGGUCACCUGCCCCCUGCAAGCAGGUGGGAAUGGCUAUGUAGCUCAAGGGUGGCAUCAUGCGGUCAUAUUGGGUAGUGCACCCCACACCCUCCAUUAUGUGUAAGGUCACUCAGCAAGUGUAGCCUGCCUGUGCUGUUGUGGAUGCCAAGGAUCUUUCCCAGCAGAGCUGAGUUCUGUGCAGAGCAGUCCAGAAGGGCUGAUGGCCUGAGAGCUGGUAGAAGAGAAGAGAAGGGAGAGGGAUAGGUGAUGGGUUUGAAAAGAUGCUACAGGGAAGCUGGGUCUCGGCAAGGAUGCCUGCAGCCCACUGCUCUCCUGCAUCUGGUCACCUUUCAAAGUGGGUUUCAGGGGCCACAUUCUGGGCAUCUGACUACCCUCAGCCUUUCACUUGAGCAUCUUAAGUUGCAACCCUGUCACCCUUGGGGAUCUGUUCCCACUAGGAGGCAUUAUUCAAAAAAGGCUUCUGUUUCCAGUGUUCAUGCAAAGAGCCUGAAGUCAAAUCUCAGAUCUUCCCUAUCUUAUCUGUGUGACCUCAGGAAAGUCCUUUAUCCUCUCUGUGCUUCAGUGUCUUCAUCCACAAACCAGGGGUAAUAAUGCCUGCCUUAUGGGGUUUGAGACCUCAUAAUGAGAGGAUGUCAGGACAAUGAAUGACCCCUACCAUAGAAAAGAGAGCCCCCAACUCUGGAUCUAGCAGCUGUCAUCCCUGGGGAGGGGAUUAGCUUGGCCCCCUGUACACAGCUGUGUGUGUGUGUGUGUGUGUGUGCUUGGCAAUGAGUUGUUCAAUUGAAACCAGCCAUGGCUGUUUGCCCCUUACCUUACCUACCUAAACAGACAGGGGUGUGCUGAGAGCCCCCAUGGGUGUUUCCAGGACUGUGGGCACUGUGGGAAAGGUGGCCACCAGUCCUCAGGAAACAGGAGGAGAGACUUGAAGAAGAUGGAGGGAGCUGUUCAUCAUGCCAGUUCCUUGGAACUUGGGAGCAAGAGGAGACAGCAGCAGCACCUGGGCAAUGCAUCUGCUCUCCCAGGAGACCAAGAGCUGGGAUCUGAUCCAGGCUGGCCCGUGCUGAUGGAGUGGCCUUGCAUCUGUCCUUCUUUGGGCCUCAGUUUCUGCAUCUGUAAAACAAGAGAAAUGUGCUGGACUCCUUCCAGCCCUUGUGUUCUGUCAGCCACCACCUCCCCUUCCACGCCCCCUCCUACUCCAAACAGGCAGGUGAGGCCUGGGGCCCCAGCCACUGUCCUUGAGGGUAGGAGCCACAGAGGGCAUCGGGAGGCCUGGCACCUGGGGGAGGCAGGCUGAGAUGGAAUCCUGAGCUCUAGGAGGAAGGAGUCAAAGAAAUUGCCAGCAGUGAAGAGCUGUGGCUUCCCGAAAGUCCAGCUGGACUAGAGGUGCCAAAUGCUCCUGGAGCCACUGCAACACAUAAUCCUAAUGAAGUGUGAUCCUGCAAACCAACAGCCUGGGGCAGGGCUCCAGGAGUUCAUCCCACCUAUCCAUGGGAUGCCUGCAGGGCUUCUUUGUUCAUCCCAGAGGUGGCCUGGCCCAGUGUGGGCCUGGGGGAAGUGACAGUAGGAAGUGAAAAAUCAAAGAACCCCUGGCAUGAAGCUGGCAUGUCAGCUGAAGGGGAAUGGAUAACUGCAUUUUGUGCUUUCAUUUCUGCCUAAUCUGGGGUAUACCCCAAAUCCCUGGCAGUUGAUGACUCCACAUUAGCAUCUCUGUUCUGGAUUCCUCCUUCCACCUCCACGUCUAUCUUUUCCAUCUCUCAUUCUCAUUUCCCAUUUCCUUCCUUUUCCUUCUUUCUGAGGGCCUAGACUUAUUUGGCUAGAAGCAUUCUCAGACAUGGUUUCUCCCUUCCAGAGCCUCUAGAGAUUAGGGUGCACCCAUCUGUUGGCUUGUGCCGUUUGGAUUGCUAUGGUCAGAAGGUAGUUGGGUUAGGGGCAGAACCCCCAGGCCAGUGCACCAGCUUGGGAUAGAAUCUGGGCUUGUUUCAUCUAUAGGGUAGUCUGGGCCUAGCCCCAUGGCAUAUGUCUCUUGCUCUUUAGAGCAGGAAAUCUGCUUCCGGGAUCUUUUUUCUUUUCUUUUUCCCUUCUAUUUACUUACUUAUUCUUUACAGUACUGUGAUUGAACCCAAGACUGCUGUACCACUGAGCUACAUGCUCAACCCCUUUUUCACUAAAUUGUCUAAGCUGGUCUUGAACUUAUAAACCUCCUUCCUCAGCCUCCUGAGUUUCUGGGGAUUACAGGCAUGUACCACUGCACCUGGCCCUGGAUUUCUUUUAAGAAAAUGGGAUUUUUAAGGUCAAGUUUGCAGAGUUAUUUACACAAUCCAAGGAUCUCUUCCCAAAUCCCACACUAUUGUGCUCUGCCUUCUAGAGCAGUGGGUUUUGAAGUGUGAACCACUGUGAGAGAUCUAUAACCCAGCAGUACCUGAAAUCUUAUUAGAAACACAAAAAUUCAAGUCUCCGUGCCCAGGGAGGGCAGGAAAUGGCUUGCAUUCCCUUGGGAGAACCGAUUGUGCACACUCCCUCCCCAAUGCCACAUUUAGUGACAGUCACAUUGGGGGGGGGCUUGACAUCAGCCACGGUGGCAGUAUUUACACUGUGGAAAUUGGCAAACACUUCAAAUCAGUGCUUGUUUUUCUUUUCAGAGAGCCCCGUUAAACUGCUUUCUGCAUUCUGCUGGGCCCCAUUCAGACCUACUGAAUCAGAAAUUCUGAAGGUGGAGUCCAGCAGCCUGCAUUUUAAUAAUAUUUCCAGGUGAUUCUGAUGCAUAAUCAAAUAUGAGAACUACCAUUCCCAUAGGUCAGCUCUGGUGGGAUCAUGAGAAAAAAGGAACCUAUGGGUUGUCAAUGGAAAGGUGAACCUCCAACUGCUGCAGAGUAGAUUGGAUCAGGAUACUUCACCUUGUUCUCAUUUUCCCACGUAUCCAGAUGAAGGAGAGAGUGUCACAGGAUCCAAAGGGCAUGGAAUAAUUGGCAGAAAAAAAAUAACCCUUUGGAUGCAUAUUUCUGCUACAAAGAAAAACACAUUAAAAGCAUUGCAUUGGAGAUACAGAGAAAGGAUAUCCUGUUUCUUUCCUAGAAAACGUGAAAAUGGGAAGUCACAGUACCUUACCCAUUAUUAUUCAUGCAAAUGUGUGCAAAAUGCCACUGGGAUUUUCUUUCCCUUUUCCAAUUUUGAAAUACUUAAACAUAUAGCAAAAUACAAGGAGAAAUAUGACAAUAAUCUUGUCCCCACCAAAAAAGAGAUGGCAAAAGCUAACAUUUUGUCUCACUUAUGUCAGAUUUUUUAAAGAAAUAAGACUUGAAGAUACAGUUAAAAAUUCCCAUUGUGUCCCCUUUCUUCUCUGUAAAUAUGCAGCAACUAUCCUCAAAUUGGUGAGUAUUUUUCUCAUACAUGUGUUCCAACCCAAUUUCUCAUAAUUAUACCUAGCAAUUCUUUGAGUGCUUUUUAAUUUACAUAAGUGGUGUCACACUGACCCUAUCAUUCUGGAACUUGCUUAUUUUUAUCUAACCUUGUGUUUCCAUGCUCUAUCCAUGUUGCUGGUAGAAUUCUAGCACAUUCAUUGUGACACCUAAAUAACAGACUGUUUAAAGGGAACCACAAUUCAUCCACUCACCCAAUGAUGGACAUUUAAUUUUGCUAUGGUUUGUCCUCCCUGAAACUCAGGUUGAAAUUUAAUGGCUAUUGUGGUGAUGUUGGGAGGUGGGCCCUUUAAGAGGUGAUUAGGUCAAAGGACUCUGCCCUAUGAAUGGAUUUAAACCCAUGGAUUUAUGGGUUAUCACAGGAAUGGCUUUGUUAUAAGGUGAACUCUCUGGCUAGCUUUCUCUGUUUCACCAUGUGUUGCACUCUGCAUGUUAUGAUGCAGCAAGAAGACCCUCACCAGGUGCCAAGCAGAACUGUGAGCUAAACAAACCUCUAUUCUUUGUACCAGUCCUGGUAUAUCAUCAUCAUCAUCAUCAUCAUCAUCAUCAUCAUCAUCAUCACUGGGGAUUAGACCCAGGUGUGCUCUACCACUGAGCUACAUCUCCAGGCUUUUUUAUUUUUUUAUUUUGAGACAGGCUCUUGCUAAGUUGCUCAGGCUGGCCUUGGACAUUCAAUCCUCCUGCCUCAACUUCCUGAGGAACUGAGAUUACAGGCAUGAGCCACAGUGCCCAGCCAAGGCAUUUUUUAAAAAUAGCAACAAAAAAUGGAUGAGGAUAAAGUCAUUUAUGAGUUGUCAAUCUCAAAUGAUUCUAUAGUGAACAACCUUGUACAUGUUUCCCCAGAGAAGACCCCACACACAUAAGUGGGUUAUUGGGCCAUAGGGAUAGUACAUUCCUCGUUAUUGACAUGUGUCCAAUUUGCUCACUAGCAUUUCUAAACCAGUACCCACUUCUACCAGUGCCACAUGAUACCUCCUAAAAUGCUAUUUAUUCAGUAUGCUCUUGGACAGUUUUAUUUCCUGAAUGCAAAAUCAAAUAUAAGGAUUAUAUUAUUCCUGGCUUUUGUUCACCUGUUUCUAUUUUCCCUUAAAGUCUUUUUUUUUUUUUUUGUGGGGCUGGGAAUUGAAGCCAGGGCCUUGUGCAUGCGAGGCAAGCACUCUACCAACUGAGCUAUAUCCCCAGCCCUCCCUUAAAGUCUUAAAUUCUUCUGUCAUGAAUUCUCCCACUAGGAUUUUCCGGAAUCUGAACCUAACAGCAAGAAGGGACAACUGGCCUGAAUAUUAUGGGGUGGAGUAUGUGUGUGUCAUUUUAGUAGCUUUGUAUCAAAGGCAAGAAGGAAAAGAAACUGGGAAGAGCCAGACCUUAAUGUCUUCUCAACAAUGCAUCAACCCCAGAAAAGAGGUGGAUAUCCCUCUUAAUUUGUUGUGGGUCAGAGGGAGAGUCAUCCCAAGAAGUCACCCUAUGGUUCCAUCUUACCUGCUUCCCUACCACUUCUCUAAGCCAUGUAAGCCCAGGGGAUAGGGAGAGAGGUGUGUUGUGUGGGGAAGGGGCACUCCAUGUGUUCAUCUGGGGUAAAGGGCUGACUUUUGGCCCUCAGCCUAAGUGUUCUCUGUCCAUGCCAAAGGCUGCUGCUGCAUCUGGGCCUGUGGGGAUAGGAGAGCUGCCAAAAUCCUAGACUGGGCAGUGACAGUGGAAAGCCUAGAUCUUGGCCACUGACCCUGUGCCUCAGCCCCAGGGCCAGACAGAACUAGUCUUCCCACAGGCCCUAAAUCAGGGAGCCUUCAGAACCUCUGAAAUUGACUUGAGAAGAGGGUGGGGGUGAGGGAUGAUUAAAGGGACCACCACCAAACUGCUUGUCUCCAAAAAAAGGCAUUUCAAGAGGCAGGGACCUGAAGUGACUGCAAACUCACUUUGUACAAUUCACAGCUAGGUAGGUGUGUGGAGGGUCUUGAUCCGAGGAGCCCCCACCCACCCACCUAACACCUUAAGUGUGGUCCACAAGAAUUUGUUUGGAGGGGACAUUUGUUCUUUAUCAAAAAGAUAAAACCUGAAAACCUCAAUGACCUUGCUCAACAGAUUUCUGUCUGCUUUGAACAGCCUGCCCUCUGGACAACAGGUGGCUUACUCAGCCUGGAGGACCAGAGGCUUACCCAUAGGCCCAGCGCAUCCCAUCAGGACCUCACAGUGGAACCCCGCCCACCAGCCAAUGAGGACGUGCAGAGGUGACGUCACUAUAUCCUGUUUCCCAGCUCAGCCAGGGUGGAUAGAACAAGCUAGAGAAAACAGCCAGUAAGUACAAGUACGGAUGCCACCACUGAUGUUGGUAAAGAAGUGGUGAAGGGCAAAUGAGUCAGCAGCAAGUUUAAGCAAUGAACAAUUGCACCACGGGGUGUUUCUCAAAUUCUUGUCUACUUUUAGAAAGUAUGCAAUGGCAUUCAGUGGGCAUCUGGAUUCUGAAAUAGCUACAGAAAAUGUUAAAAAUGCUGUGGGUGAAGAUGUGCCCGCGUUGACCUCCUUUCUAAAACAAUAGUUAACGAUUGUGCCGCGUGUCCUAAAGCAAAUCUUUUAACCUGACUGUUCCUUAGUUUCCUCACCUGUGACAUGAAGGGAAUGUAUGAGAAGCAUCUCUGGAGGUUCCUUCCAGUCUAACAUUGUGUGAUCUGACCGUUUGACACUAGACUCACAUUCUUAAUACUCAGGCUAUGUCUACACAAUGCCAAGACCACUAGCCAGUGGAGUUAGUGGGGACGAGAUGUUCUCUCCAAUCAAUUUUUUGGCCCGGGAUACAUAAAACAACCAAUUAAUUGGCACCAUUUUUCAUUUCACAACUGAGUGCACUGGGAUCUUCUUGACCAGUGGUUCCUCCUCGCGAUGUCCUGAUGUGCAGCAUGCCUGAAUCAGUGCUGAGGUGUGUCAUAGGCAAUUGGCUACUCAUAAUAAGCUGUUGAGGUUUUCAAGUGAUUGAUGACUUUUUUAUCAAUUAAAAUAGACCUAGUCUGUCUCUCUAGGAACACCCCUGCCAGUCGUUUGCAUUCUGAUAUGCCUCCCUGUAUUGAAGAAGAAGGAGUGAAAUUAUAGCUAGCAAACCAGGGACAAUAGGUUAGGGAGUACCUGUUGUCCCCAGCCUAUUGGAUGCUGACAGGAGGAUGUCAUGUGCUGUGUCUGUGAAUGUCUAUCACCUACUACACCUGCAAGACAGCUGAUGGAGACCUCUGAUGAAUGGUUGGACAUGAAGUCACUGGAGACUCAGGCUCUGGAACAAUCUGAUCCAGAUGUGGACAGUUACCAGCAUCCCAUGAUCCAGUAGUCAGCCAGAGAAGCAGGAAAGUGUUCAACAGAGCACAUUACGAAGGGCUUGUCUUUGGUCCAAAAAGAGAUUCCACCAUGGCUGUUCACCAUUGAGGAAGGGAAGGGAGCAUGACACGGUGUUUAUUGAACAUUUUAAAUGGUGCCAAGCCCUGUCCCCGACACUCAUGGCAGGUUUUAAUGCUGUUCACCAGCAUUUAAUGUGUCCUCAGCUGUUCUGAUUGUGUUUUCUCCCUUUUGCGGUGUGCAAGAGUCCUGCAAAAUCCUGGCCAUUGAGUUAUGGGUAGAAGUAACAUGUCAGUCCAACACCCAAGCAUUUUGUUAACUUUAGACCCACUAGAGCUCCCCUAAGUCUCCAGCAUGAGAACUGCAUCAGUCUGGCGUCUCUUCCAUCAUCAGCCCGAGUCCUGGGAUGGUAUGGAGCAGAGUCCCCAGGCUAGUUGUACUGCAUGUGAAUCAUGUAGCACACAGAGAGUGAAGCUAAACAUCAUUGUUCUAGGCCACUGGGAUUCUGGGGCCACUUGUAACUGCAGUACAAGCUGGUUUUGUGCUGACUGACAUAUUUUCUAUAACAUAAUGACUUUUUUUUUUUUUUAAAGUGAGCUUUAGUGUUAAAAAGAUCAAGACUGGAAGCUUAAUACUUACUGACCACGGGCAAAUCUGUUAACAUUCUGACCCUUAGUUUCUUUAUCUCUGAAAUGGUAGGCAUGACUUCUAUCUCACAAUAUUUUUUUAUUAGGUUUGUAAAUACAAGAUACCUAGCACAGGAUUUGGCAUGCAGUAGAUGCUCAAUUAUAAUUAUUUUGAUUUCCUGUAUUCCUAGAAACAGCCCUGAGUAAAGAGCGCAUGGGAGUGUUGUUGUUUCAGAUCAUCAAAUAUUAUGGAGAACACUGGCCAGGGACCCCAAGCAUGAGGGACUGUGUGGAAUCCUCUGUGCUCACCCUCCCCUGAUCUCAGAGGAGCCCUAAAGGGAGAGGAGACGCCAAGGAUGCCAUUUACAAUUGAACCUUUUUAUUGCCAGAGGAAAGGCAGAGUCCACUUAAGGGAGAGAUUAUCGACACCUUCAGCAUAUGAAAUAAGACUACAGCGGUGGAGAGGGUUAGGAUCUGUGAGCCCCAUGGAGGCUUGUUAUCCUACCAACCAAAGCCAGCAGAGAGGCCUUUCCUGAAGGUUCAGCAAGCCCAGCUCUUCUCUUAAAUCAGCUUAUUAGUAUUAUCAUAACCACUUUGUCUGACUCACCUGGGACUCAGGAAUAAUCUGGAGAGUGGACUUCAGAGGAAGGGAGAGAAAGAACGGAUGAGGGACCCUCCCUCCUCCUGAUGCCCACCAUAUCUUUCUUCCCUACCAAGCCUGGCCAGAUGGAGGAGCAGAACCAAUCAGGGAAGGAGGUGGGGGGACCAUUCUAAUUCUGUGUGGCCCUUCCCUUGCUAUGCCAUUUGCUCUAGAAAAGUCAAGUUCCAGGGUGCAAUUCCCACUUUAAUUUGAUUUACUCUGGAUUAUGUUAUUUCUAAGGCCAGUUUUCUCUAAGGUGAGCUCUCAGAUCAUGUUUUCCCUUGGUGUGCCACAUCCUGGUCAUUAGCUUGGAAUUAUAUGACCUGACCCAUGGGUCUUCUCAGUUCUGCCUCUGAGGUGGACAUAUCACACACACGGAGUGCAGAUGGUCUCUCAGGAUCCAAGGGGACCUUGAUCACCACCUUAACCACCUGGAAUCAUCAGGAAGCACCUGUUGAGGCCCCCACAGAUUUUGUUGAAUAAAAAAUAAAGGGACAGAGCACCACUACUUGGGUUAUGUUUACACCUGUCAUCAAUCGGACCCCAACUUGCUCUUGACUUUUCCCACACAGACCAAGGACCCAUGAGAAAUCUUAUGGUAGAGGGCCGACUCUGACCUUCAGCAGUUGGAUGACUCUUCUAAGUUAAGAAGGUUUACCCAGGAGCAUAUAGUAGAUGAACAUAGAUCUGUGGCUAGUGCUAGUGGAGUUAAAGCAUGAUGAGAAUGGAAAUAAAAUUGUGAAAUUGAAUCCUGAAAGGGCAUCAGCCUCAUUUUGAUCAAGAUCCCAGGCUGUACCUGAACCAGAUUAAAAUCAACAAAUUGGGUUUCUGAGAACAUGAGAGAGGCAAAUAGGGGUGUAGUGGAACACUCAUAAUAGCUUGUAAGCCAAGUGAAAAUGUUCAGAGGCCUGUGAACCAUUUUUAAACCACACAGCUUAAAAUCUAUUACCAUAGGGAUUGGUAAACUCUACAAAUCAAGGUGGCCAUAGCUUCUGCUCCUCCCCUUCCUCCUUCCUUGAUCUCUUCCCCUUCCUUGUCCUCCUCCUUCUCCUUCUCUUCCUGGUUUACCAAGGCAUGUGCAGUUUCUAUUCCAGGGAUGGCAAUGGGAUCAGAGGCAUUGGUUUUGUGUAUGGAAAGAACAGAGUUCUCUGGAACCUUAGACAGCUUUGAGGACUCUUUUUAAAAAUCACUUUUAACAUUGAAAGAAACUAUCAGAUAGGGGGUUGUGACUUCAGUCACUGAGGUUUUAAAUUUAAAAGCUUUAGCUGAAGUGAAAAUUACAUGCAAAUGUUGGGUUGUUCGGAGCUGCAGGAGUCUGCAGUGGUGUUCUAGAGAAAGCCUUUAUUGAACUCUCUGUGGAGCUGCAUUGAAGUGGCUUCCAAGCCUUCCAGAGAGGGGCUAGCACCUAAUUGUAGCUCACUGUGUCCAUUGCUGUGGGGUCUCCUGUGGGUGGGACAGAGAGUUUUGAAGAAUCUAUGUUAUGAACUGAAUUGUGUCUUUCAUAUAACCUCUAAUGUGACUUUGGAGAUGGAACCUUUAGGCAGACAAUUAUGGUUACAUAAAGUCACAAGGAUUGGACCCCAAUUCAAUCUGACUGGUGUCCUUAUAGAAAGAGGAAAUUUGGACACAAAAGAUACCAGGGAUGGGUAUGCAAGGAGAAAAGUUCACACAAGGACACAGGAGAGAUUGUGUCUGUAAGCCAAGGACAGAAACCUCACCAGAAACCAACUCUGUGGGCACCUUGAUCUUGGACUUACUGCCUGCAGGACUGUGAGAAGAUGAAUUGUGAUUGUUUAAGCCAUCCAGUCCCUGGUAUUCUGUCAAAGAGCUAGCUGGUUUAUGCAUUCGACAAUCUAGAUUGUAUUUUCUGUUCUUGUUUGAUUUUUUAGAUCAGUUUUACAGGAUAAUUGAAAGCCUUCCACCAUUCUUCAGACCCUCUCGACCCUGCCAAAGACUCUCAAUGUGCCCAGUCACCCAUCUGUGAAGCCCAAGGGUGGGGCCAUGUAGAGUGAACUGGAAUUCAGCAGGUUUCUGUAGCAGCUGACAGUCAGAUUGAACAUGAGUAGAACUCAGCUCUGCCAGUUUCUAGCUGUGUAAAUUGUCCUCAUCUCCUCUGUGCCCUUGUAUCCUCGUCUGUAAAAUAUUAUCCUCCCUCAAGGAUUGUGGUGAGGAUAAAGCAAAAUGGCAGAAAGAUAAGGCACACAGAACAGUGCUCAGGGAGCAAUCCCCCCUAAGCAAAGCCACCUGGGGUUCAGCCAGCCCUAGAGUCUGGUCAGUUUGCCCUGGUCACUGGGUUGGUGGGGAACUUGAAGGAGCAGGGAGAUCAGUGCCUGAGGGGGCAAGGUGUUUCUUCUCCUGGUGACCUGCACUACCAGGGAGCAUCUGGUACCAAGACCUUCCCCGGUUGAAUCCUCUCCGCCCCUAGGUUGUUCCCAAAUGUGAUGAGCCCUUCAAAAACAAACAAACAAACAAACAAAAAACACUAUGCAUCUUAAUAAAUAAGAUAAUGAAGUAAACGUUUCCCAGGGAGCCUGGCUCUCAGCAAGUGCUCAAUAAAUGGUAACGAUUUCUAUAUAUCCAGUGCCCCCCCCCUUACAUGCCACUUCUCUCCCCCACCCCAAGGCAGCUGUGGCCACAGAGGCAUAAUUUGGAUGCUGUUGUUAGGAACAGCCUUGGUAGCUUCAUUAACCAAUUGAGUUCAGCUUUACUAAAAGCCCUGUUCCUAAAGAAGCCUUCUCCAAGCCCUUCCCCAACACCCAGAAUAAAACAGGCUGACCGCCCCCAAGAAAGGUACCCUGCCAGAACCCAGCACACCCAGAACCCAGCACACUCUCUGAUAUUCGCGGUAAUAUCUGCUGAUGGAGGACACACUUCCUGUAGCUUACUGAACUCCAGUCCCCUUGUCUUCCAACUUUCUUUUCCUGCACCAUGAGCCAGACCAUUGGUGACCUGGUGAAGGGUGGAAAUCAACUGACAGGAGAAUUCAGACCUACAGCACCUGGUUAAAUGCAGGAAACAGGCCUUUGCUCACAGGUGGUCCUAACCCAGAACUGAGGAACCAUGUGAUGCUGGAAUUUGGCCCAGUGAAGCCAGCUUUGGCAUUUGGGCUUUGUACCUGACUCCCCAGGCACCACCACCUAAAUCAGGUGAAAACUCCUUCAGCACUUUUUUAUUUUCACAUCCCCUGGGAUCUUGCUGAGCACACAGGGAGGCUUAGGUAGAAGUCACUUUGUCUCUCCAUGUUGCCUUCUGUUCAAAGAUAAUUUAAGAGUCAUGUUCUGGAAUGACCUGUUUUGUACCUAUCCAAAAGCAGACUUUGCAAAGUCAGGUGACACAAAGGGUCAGAUCCAUCUAACCUCAUCAAAGCCCUGGUUUCUAAGGGACCUGUCUAUGGAGGUUAGUGAUAACAAACUCAGUAAAGAGCAGAGGCUGAGAGAAGAAUUCAAGUAAGGAAAAAAUCCUACUGCCGAUUCAGAAAAACUCAUGAGUUUGAAAUUUUCUGGAAACAUCACAUCUUACUAUAACUCAUUCUCCUUUUCUCUGCAGACUUCAAGGAAAUAGGACUGAAACAAAGAAACCAAAGCCUUCUCCAGAAAAAUUGUAAAGGGUCAAAAAAGGGUCCUUAAUUAGAUACAGGAAAUCAAGGCUGGAGAGAAGCUGUGGCCAAUCUGACCAUAUUUGACAUAUACCUAAGAAAGUUCAAAGAGUCAGAAUUAACUCUAUCCAAGUCUAAAGAAGAACCAGGAUUAAACUAAAUAAAGGUCAACAGCCCUAGCAAUUAAAGACAUCAAUUUAUGCCUGUGUUUGUAUUUCUUUGAAUCUAACUCCAACUAUAUAGCCUAUUUUGAAUUGAUAUUUGUUGGUAUUUUAUUAAAAUAAUAAAUUAUUUGUUCUUAGUUAUUUUAAUAAAAAGCUCUAUUUAAAUUUA